UACCAAUCGUGACGUAGUAACUAUAUUAAUAUUGCAUAAAUCUUAAUACAAAGCGGGUAAAAUUACGAGGGGUAAAGCUUGUCCGGAUUUGACGGCGCCUAUCGACGGAGCAGUGGUUUUCAUCCCGAGCAAGGACUAUCUAAGCAGGGCAGAGUUCUCGUGCCGUGUGGGCUACACUCUAACCGGUAUUUCAACUAGAACGUGUAUGGCAACCGGAGCGUGGGAUGGGUCAAGUCCAACGUGUGUUAUUAAAGACUGCGGUACGUUGUCGACACCAAUGAACGGAGAGGUAGAUCUCGCGCAAGGGACCAAGUACGGGGCCGAGGCAUCCUUCACGUGUAAUACCGGCUACACGCUCGUGGGGCUACCUUUGCUGACAUGCACUUCAGCCGGAACUUGGAGCUCAGCUGCGCCUGUGUGUCAAA